rnacentral:rRNA from 1 species
AGAGAUGUGUGAUGACGCAUAUCAAUAAGCGGAGGAAAAGAAACUAACAAGGAUUCCCUUAGUAACGGCGAGUGAAGUGGGAAGAGCUCAAAUUUGAAAUCUUCAAGGGUUCUACCUUGACGAAUUGUAGUUUAAUAGAAGUGUUUUCUGUUAGUAGAGGUGGCUAAAAGUUCUUUGGAAUAGGACAUCAUAGAGGGUGAGAAUCCCGUAUUUGAUCAUUCUUUCUAACGUUGUGAUACACUUUCAACGAGUCGGAUUGUUUGGGAAUGCAGUCCAAAAUGGGUGGUAAAUUUCAUCUAAAGCUAAAUAUUGGCGAGAGACCGAUAGCGAACAAGUACCGUGAGGGAAAGAUGAAAGGAACUUUGAAAAGAGAGUUAAACAGUACGUGAAAUUGUCAAAAGGGAAGCGUUUGACACCAGUGUUGUUUUUCCGAAAAUCAAUUACGAAUGUUUUAGUUUUUGAGGAGUUAUGACUUCAUCGGCUUGCUCCUUUCUUUAUGAAACUUUCUUAAUGCACUUUUCGGUUAACAAGUCAACAUCAAUUUCUUUUGUUGUAAAAGGGUAUGAGGAAGGUGGCUUUCUUUUCGGAGAAAGUGUUUAUAGCCUUGUGCCUCUGCAAUCGGAGAGAUUGAGGUCUGCAGCGUAGACUCUUCGGGGUUAGAUACAGUUUGUGCUAAGUUAUAACUUUUCAUAGACAACUUGUUGACUAUGUUUAGUCAUGUAGCUUACUCGCUGAUGCUAUUUUACCUACGCUUAGGAUGUUGAACUCUAUCACACACAG